rnacentral:lncRNA from 1 species
AAGGAUGUUAAAAUAUUCAAGGUCCUAAUUCUCAGUACCAAAAGUAAAAAAGUAAAUAAAUAAAUAAAGAAGUAAGGCAUGAUAGGUAAGGAGGAAUUAACAUGCACCUAAGGAAACUUAAUAUUCUACAAAUUUGACGUCAGGAUUAACAGUAUGGUUAUUGAUUUUUUCAAGCUAUUGACAGGUAAUAAGCUUUACAACUCUUUCCACCACAACUAAAAGCACAAACAUUCUUGCCAAAACUGAAACUGAAGUGAACGGAUUUGGUGAAAUUAAAAAAGGUAGAAGUCAUCCAUUUUAUCGAGUCAAAGAUUUAUACCUGUGUCUGUAUAUUUUAAAGUGGAGAGGGGUAUAGAUACUUAAUUUCAUGAAAACACAAAAGGGAAAUGGUAUAUGUUGACCCCGGAAAUUGGUCUUUCCACGUAGCCAACUGAAAGCUACUCCACGUAUUCCUCCCUGCACACAAUCAGCGAAUAGUCAGGCGCACACGGCCGGAACCAACGGGGGUAGUGGCGGCCGUAUACACUCCGACAGUCAAGUCAGGUUUGGGUGAUCGGAACAGUACCCAGGGGUUAUGCAAAUCAACAAUAAAGGGGGAGGAGAAAAUAUAUAAACUUGCUAUGGAGUGCUAUGUAUUAAGAGUUUCAUUCCCUUUGCCUAUUGCCAAACCUUGGGUAUUUAUAGGUGGUAUGAACCGUUGGAUGUGGAACGCGUGUAUACAUCUGACAGUAUGAAGCGUCUGCUCAUAGGCGUCAAUCAACCGCGAGUGGGCGGACAGUUUGUUUCCUCUGAGUUGAAUUGACAUCAAGUUGAUAAGUCACAUCAACUAGCCUCAUGGAGACGUCAAAUCAAUUUAAGCCUUAGGUGCAGUACAAAUCUCAAAUUGGCGGCGGAUCUUCUAACCAGGGACCACUUGAUCUCAACCUCGGAGGUGAGAUGCUUCGGCAGAUCAGUAGUAGGAAUCGCUAAAUCACUUCGGAGAAGCUUCAGAAGGGUCGUUUUCAGGUCGGAAUAAGUGGUGCUGCGGGGGGUCCACUUGAUCUCGGCCUCGGAGGCGAGAUGACACUUCGGUAUCCGAGGCGUGUAUAAUCGGAGCGUAACAGUGGUCCCCCAAGUCCGUGGAUGAAUAUUUAUAUCAUGUGUGGAUUUGCUUUCCUGACCGGACCGCAAGUCAUGGGAGUUUUGGGGGUUGGUCUGUUGCGGCAAUCGAGGUUAUGAUAAUAGGCAGAUGUGCCAAAGUUUCGUUCUUGUGCGUUGCAUACGAGACGGUCAACCAGCAUGGGACGUCGCGUAAGGUGCAUCGAAGCUUCAUGAAUAUGGUGCGCUGACCCCAAAGACCGACGCGUUGGGAGAUGGCUGAAACUUUGUAAAGCAUGGGAGGGAACGCAGCGUCCGAGGCGAUGACCCAAAAGGGCCUUCGCGUCAGGUAAAGGUCGACACGUUGGAAGACGGCUGAAACUUUGUAAAGCGUGGGAGGGAACGCAGCGUUCGAGGCGAUAACCCGAAAGGGCCUUCGCGUCAGGUGCGUCCAAGCUUUGCAAAGUUGAAGGAGGAGCUCAUCUGCCAUCGGUGCGCUAACUCCAAAGGUCGACGCGUUGGGAGAUGGCUGAAACGUUGUAAAGAAUGGGAGGAAACGCAGCGUCCGAGGCGAUGACCCAAUAGGGACUUCGCGUCAGGUGCGUCCAAGUUUUGUAAAGCUGGAGGAGGAGCUCAUCUGCCACCGGUGCGCUGACCCAAAAGGUCGACCCGUUGGGAGAUGGCUGAAACUUUGUAAAGCAUGGAAAGAAACGCAGCGUCCGAGGCAAUGACCCAAUAGGGCCUUCGCGUCAGGUGCGUCCAAGCUUUGUAAAGUUGGAGGAGGAGGAGCUCAAUCCGAGGCGACUCAAACGUCAAAUGAUUUGACAACUGUUGCGUGUUUUCAAGGUGACAGUUGGGUGCCAUGCCCAUUCUCCUAAAAGGCUGCUGCGGCUACUAAUUAUUAUUGACGGCUGGUUGUAACCGAGGUGAAGCGUUUCAAGUAAGCGUGAAAGUCACAGCGACAUCUUGGGCGUAGAUCAAAUCUGGCGUUUCAUUUCAAUGGCCUAGAUUGAGGAUGCGAUGAACGGCUUAGAUUGAUCGCAUUUGAAUUCAACGGUGGAGAUCGGACUUGUUUUUCUAUAAAAGGAGGACUCUGGGGUUUUCUCAGGCUUUCUACCCUUGCAAAACUAAGAUUAUACUUUGCUCUCAAAUUUUUGGCGAUUUUCGGCGUUUUGCAAGCAAUUCCAGCGAGAAAAACUAGACUUCCGACGAGAAAAACUAGGCUUCCGGCGACCUUACACCAUUUUCGGCUAGGAAAACAUCCAAACCCGUAAGUUUCAGCACCAAUUCAGGCUUUUAAAUUUUUAAAGAAUGGCCUCAGAGGGAAGUUCUAGUUCGGGGAGGGGUUUAGAAAUAGUGAGGGUGGACGAGCCCAUUGUGGCGACCUCCUUAGAAAUAGCUGGGGCAAUAACCGGGGGGGAGGGGGUGGGAGAACAUAUGGAAACGACCGGAUAGCCCACCAGAUACCUUUGUGCAUUGGGGGGCGUCGGACUACCCAUCAAAAUUAAGCGAGGCCGACCUGGAGAGACUUAGGACAGAGUAUAGGAUCCCUGACAGCGUAGAUUUAAUCCUCCCCGGGCCGAAAGAGAGAGCCUGAGACCUUAGGCCGGGCUGUGUGGCCAUUAGUGAGGCGAUCCUUAGGGCCGGACUUAGGCUGCCCAUCCACCCAUUCUUUAGGUUGGUGCUUAGGUCCUAUGGGCUAGCCCCGACGCAGCUCAAUCCGAACUCCUGGAACCAGAUUGUGGGCUCCUGGAUGUUGUGGAAAGAGGCGUCAUUAGGGGUGGAGAUGCCCCUUUCCGUUUUUCAUGUUACCAUCUUUGGCUGCGAAAUUCCCAUUUACCUGAUUUACUAUGAGCUGAGAGUCACUGCUUGCUAGGAGCUUCCUGACCCGCAUUUCCUUAGCGAGCCUUAGACCUGCCAGAAGGGCCUCGUAUUCGACUGCGUUGUUCGAAGCUUUAAAGCCGAACCUUACCGCACAAUUUAGCCUAUGGCCUUCCGGGCUCUCCAACACGAUCCCUGCCCCCGCGCUAGCCUCUCCUGAGGACCCAUCUACAAAUAGUUUCCAUGUGGGGGGGGGGGCUCGGCUGGUUCCAUUAUCGUCUCCAUUUCUGGGGCUUUGGUAAACUCAACCAUAAAAUCAGCAAGGGCCUGGCCCUUGACGGCGUGUCUAGGUCGGAACAUUAGAUCGAAAUCGCUAAGCUCGAUGGCCCAUUUCAGCAGGCGUCCUGACGCGUCUGUUUUCUGCAUUACCUGCUUUAAAGGGAAAUUGGUGAGAACUUGUAUUGAGUGGGCUUGGAAAUAUGGCCUCAGCUUUCUUGAGGCUGUGAUAAGUGCGAGUGCCAAUUUUUCCAUGUCUGGGUAGCGUGUUUCAGCUGGGAGAAGUGCUUUGCUGAUGUAGUACACUGGCAAUUGACGCUCAUUUUCUUCCUUGAUUAGGACUGCGCUGACUGCCACGUCCGAAACUGCUAGAUACAGUAAUAGAGAUUCAUCCGGUUGAGGUUUCGACAAGAGGGGUGCUUCCCCAAGGUGCUUCUUCAGAGCCUCGAAGGCUUCUUCGCACUCCGAAAUCCAUUGAAAUUUCUUUCCUUGCUUCAAUACAUUGAAGAAAGGCAAGCUUUUAUCAGUGGCUCUGGAGAUGAAGCGGCUGAGUGCGGCUAUCCGACCAUUGAGACUUUGGACCUCCUUCGAUUUCUGAGGUGACCUCAUUUCUAGUAAGGCCGUUACUUUCACCGGAUUUGCCUCAAUUCCUCUCUGCUUUACAAUAUAUCCCAAGAACUGUCCUGAUGCCACUCCAAAGGUGCACUUGAGGGGAUUCAAUUUCAUAUUAUACUUUCUGAGUAUCUGGAAGGUUUGGUCGAUGUGACUCACGUGUUCGGUUGCCUGGAGGCUUUUGACCAACAUGUCGUCUACGUAGACCUCCAUGGUUUUGCCAAUGAGUUCGACAAACAUCAUGUUGACUAACCUCUGGUAUGUGGCCUCGACAUUUUUCAAUCCGAAGGGCAUAACUUUGUAGCAAUACAGGCCCUGUCCGUAAUGAAUGAUGUAGCUUCCUCGUCAGGUCGGAACAUGGGUAUUUGGUUGUACCCUGAGUAUGCAUCCAUGAAACUCAGUAGUUCAUGCCCAGCAGUAGAGUCCACAAGUUGAUCAAUUCUCGAAAGUGGGAAGCUGUCUUUGGGGCACGCCUUAUUUAGGUUUGUGAAGUCCACGCAUACCCUCUACUUUCCGCUGGACUUUUUCACCAGAACUGGGUUGGAUAUCCACCUCGAAUAUAUGGCCUCUCUGAUGAAACCACUGCGGCUAAAUUUGCUUACUUCGUCUUUCAGUGCCUCGUACUGUUCCGGGUUUAGGGCACGCCUCUUCUGUCUAUGGGGAGCAUAAGAGGGGUUGAUGUUAAGGUGAUGGCAACUGAUCCUAGGAUCUAUUCUCACCAUAUCUUCAUGUUUCCAUGCGAAGACAUCCAGGUUCCCUUUCAGGAAACGUAUCAUCUCAGUUUUUGCUUCAGGUGAUAAUGACUUCCCUAUACGCAAGACUUGAUUGGGGUCUUCCGGGUUGACGGGGAAAGUUUCCAAUUCUUCCAUGGGGGUCGCAUUUGGUUCAUAAUCAAUUAUUUGGGGGUCUAACUCAUCAAGAGGGUGUCCUUGUUCAGAGGCCUCUUCCAUGUCGACGUCUCCCUUUUGUUCAGAGGUAUGCCCUUGUUCAGGGGCGUCGAGCAUUUCCACGUCCGUACCGACUUCAAUGGGUACCUCGACUAGGAUUACAUUAAUAGUUCGGGGCUCGGAUUUGCACAUCGAGUUUAGGUAGCAUGCCCUGGAGCCCAUCUGAUUGCCCGGACUGUUGCAAUCCCAUGUUCAGUUGGAAAUUUCAUGCACAAAUAGUGAAUGGACGUCACAGCCCAAAGAUCUUUCAGAGCGGAUCUGUCCAAUACUCCAUGAUAAGCCGAUCUAUGAUCUACCACCAGAAAUUCCAUGAAAUGCUGGGCUACUAGGGGUGCCGAACCCAUUUCGACAGGCAAGGUGAUCCGCCCUCGUGGGAUUAUGUUGUCCCCAGUGAAUCCGAACAGUGGGUCGGUCAUAAGAAUCAACCCAUGUUCAAUUUACAUUUUGUUAAAAGUGGAGCCGAACAAUAUGUUCACGGAACUGCCAUUGUCAAGGAGCAUGUGUUUUAAUCCGUUUCUAGCUACUACGGCUCUUACAACCAAAACAUCGCAAUGGGGGUGGUGAACUCCCUCUGAGUCUUCCUGGGAAAAGGUGAUCGAGGCCAUCUUGUUUGCUGAUUUCGAUUCGUUAACAAUGUAAGUGAUCAUCGGGGGAUCCUUUGCUUCUCUUGUGUAAUUUCUCUGGGCAUUCCUGGUGUUGCCACCGACGUGGUGUCCCCCAAUGAUGGUAUCGAUUUCCCUGAUGACCUGGCCUCCCGAAAAUUGGGCUUGGUUCCCCUGCCUGGAUUAGCCUCGGUUCCUCGAUUCUCUUCUACGAGGAGAUUGUUCCUGGUGACCUCUCCCUCCCCUCCCCGGGGAGGUGGAUCUGCGAGGGUGUUCGCUUCUGCUGGAAAUGUGAGGGUUGCUUCGAUCAGGGCGCCGAUUGGCAUCAUGACACUCACUAGUGUCAUGUCCGUAUAGUUGAUGGAAUGUACAAAACCUUGCUCCUGCCAAGGGUCUGUUUGACCUCUUUUUUCUUCUUAUUGUUAUCAGUUCUCCCAGAUGGUCCCGCUUCAGCAGGGGCAUUAUCAUAUGCCAGUACCGGCACUGCAUUCAAUGUGCCGGAAGCUAGGACCUGUCCGGAUGUGGGAGCUAUGGUAUGCCCUGCUUUGGUCCAUUGCUGAGUAACAAGGUAUGCUGCGGGGCCUCGACCUACCUGCCUCUGAGGAGGAGGGAGUCCCUGCGCGGCACGGUUGCGAUGAUCAAUCAUUUCUUCACUAACAAUUUCCACUCUCAUCAUUUCGACCAGCUCGUCAUAUGUGGAGGGAUUCUUGCUGCGCACCUCCCUCCAGAACAAAGUGUUCAUGUUGAGCCCACCUUUCAGGGCUGGAAGGGCUUCCCUGUCAGUAACCUGUUCGCAGUAAGUAAUUUCGUCUAUAAACCUGGCGAGAUAGCUUUUUAGCGUCUCUCCAGGGGCCUGCCUCAUGUCUUGCAGGCGUUGAAUUGGUGCCUCUCCUUCCCUGCGUGAGAGGUACUGGUUCAAAAAUACUUUCUUCAAGUCUGGUCAACUUCUGAUGCUUAGGGGAGGAAGCCUGCUGUACCAUACCUCGGCGGCUCCGGCUAGUGUUAAAUGGAAGACUCUGCAUUUUAGAGCAGGCGAGGCUCCCCUAAGGCUCAUUUGUGUCAUAUACUUUGUGAGGUGCUUCUCCGGAUCCCCCUUUCCCUCAUACUUGGGGAUCUUAGGGGGCAUGAAGUUAGCUAGCAUUGGGAAGCUUCGAAUCUCCCUUGAGAAAGGGAGGUUAUCGUCAAUCUCAUAAGAUCGACAGGGCCCCUCUAGCCCUUCAUCAUCUUGGAUGUCCUGGGGAGGUGGAGGUGCUUCUCCUCGACUCCCCCAAUCGACUAGGUUUCUCCUCUCCCUCCUAUUUCUAGGAGGAGGGGGAACAUGUUCUCGUUCGUGAUCCGGACGAACUGAUCCUCUUGCUGGCCAGACCCUAUUGCUAGGAUUCUCCCCUAUCCGGUCGAAGACGCUUACCGACCUUUGGUCGUCGUGUUCUUGAGGGAAAUUGUCCCCCAAGCGUGGUUCUGAUGGCCGACUCCCUUGCACAUAAGAUAUUGCUUCGGCGUUCAUAUCCCUUUCGAGGGGGCAUUCUGUGUGCUGACUCAUGUGGCCCCGAGAGUGAGAUAAAGGGAUUUCCUGCAGCGGAUAAGAUCUUUGGGGCCUUUGAUAGCUCUGGUGUCCCUGGGCUUGCAUGAGGAGUUCCUGCAUCGCCAUAUUCUGAGCUGCUAUGUCUCUCAUACCCGCAGCUAUCUAAGCCAUUCCUUCAGUGAGUAUGGUUGUUCUUCCGCCUCGGCGACGUCGGUGAUGCGGUCUCUGAUGAGUAACAUUGUUAUGGAGUACCUCUUCUUCAGAGGCCUCUCUCAUGGGAUUGUCGUCUUCAUGGCUGUAGCUCAUUCUACCUCUUUUUUCAAGGGUAGUAAGAACUUGGAUUGUAACUCGACUUUGUUCUUUUUCAAGAAUGCCACCUUUUCAGGAUUAGUCGCCGAUUUUCCGGUACCUUCUCCGAUGGAGAACGCAAAACUUCGAAUGGGGAGUGCUUCCCACAGACGGCGCCAAUCUGUUGACCCCGGAAAUUGAUCCUUCCACGUAGCCAACUGAAAGCUACUCCACCUAUUCCUCCCUGCACACAAUCAGCGAAUAGUCAGGCGCACACGGCCGGAACCAAGGGGGGUGGUGGCGGCCGUAUACACUCCGAUGGUCAAGUCAGGUUUGGGUGAUCGGAACAGUACCCAGGGGCUAUGCAAAUCAACAAUAAAGGGGGAGGAGAAAAUAUAUAAACUUGCUAUGGAGUGCUAUGUAUUAAGAGUUUCAUUCCCUUUGCCUCUUGCCAAACCUUGGGUAUUUAUAGGUGGUAUGAACCGUUGGAUGUGGAACGCGUGUAUACAUCUGACGGUAUGAAGCGUCUGCUCAUAGGCGUCAAUCAGCCGCGUUUGUAGAGUGGGCGGACAGUUUGUUUCCACUGAGUUGAAUUGACAUAAAGUUGAUAAGUCACAUCAACUAGUCUCAUGGAGACGUCAAAUCAAUUUAAGCCUUAGGUGCAGGACAAAUCUCAAAUUGGCGGCGGAUCUUCUAACCAGGGUCCACUUGAUCUCGACCUUGGAGGUGAGAUGCUUCGGCAGAUCAGUAGUAGAAUCGCUAUAUCACUUCGGAGAAGCUUCGGAAGGGUCGUUUUCAGGUCGGAAUAAGUGGUGCUAUGGGGGGUCCACUUGAUCUCGGCCUCGGAGGCGAGAUGACACUUCGAUAUCCGAGGCGUGUAUAAUCGGAGCGUAACAGUAUAGUAAGAAAAAGAUCCAUAUCGACCGACAGGAAAGAACUCAUAUUGAAUUAAUAUCAAUCUCAUUGUAAUUAUAUUCUAAUAACAUUACUUUGAAAUAAAUCACUAGAAGAACAGUGACGAGAAGGAAAUUUUGAAUUCUAAAACAAUUCACCAGAAGGCUUUAGAACUAGAACUGGAACUGGUUCUUUCCAUUUCCCAUGCUACAUAUCUUUGAUGAUAAACAACUAUUUUUAGAUGCUAAUUGAUUUCCUAAUAUUCAUACAAGUGCAUUAAUAUCGCCGGACAGCCAAUAAAUAAGCUAUAAUUUUAGGAGAUCUACUCAUAAUGUUCAGGGCUUCUUGUUUUCAAGUCAGUAUUCCUAGGGAAAAAAAAAAAAAAAAAAAAACAUAAACUAUGACCUCAAAGAUACCACAUUGUGCAUAUAACCUGAAAUCAAUAUAGUACACGCAGUAGAAAUA